GUGCUCAUUUCAGCAGCAUGGAUACUAAAAUUGGAACAAUACAGAAAAGAUUAGUAUGGCCUCCGAGCAAAGAUGACACACAAACUUGUGAAGCAUUUUUAU
rnacentral:snRNA from 1 species